rnacentral:rRNA from 1 species
AUUGAACGCUGGCGGCAUGCUUUACACAUGCAAGUCGAACGGUAACAGGCCGCAAGGUGCUGACGAGUGGCGAACGGGUGAGUAAUGCAUCGGAACGUGCCCAGUCGUGGGGGAUAACGCAGCGAAAGCUGCGCUAAUACCGCAUACGAUCUAUGGAUGAAAGCGGGGGGCCGUAAGGCCUCGCGCGAUUGGAGCGGCCGAUGUCCGAUUAGGUAGUUGGUGGGGUAAAGGCUCACCAAGCCAACGAUCUGUAGCUGGUCUGAGAGGACGACCAGCCACACUGGGACUGAGACACGGCCCAGACUCCUACGGGAGGCAGCAGUGGGGAAUUUUGGACAAUGGGCGCAAGCCUGAUCCAGCAAUGCCGCGUGCAGGAAGAAAGCCUUCGGGUUGUAAACUGCUUUUGUACGGAACGAAACGGUCCUGGUUAAUACCCGGGGCUAAUGACGGUACCGUAAGAAUAAGCACCGGCUAACUACGUGCCAGCAGCCGCGGUAAGAC